rnacentral:lncRNA from 10 species
CUGCAAUUAUUGAGAUGAUCAUGUGGUUUUUGUCGUUGGUUCUGCUUAUGUGAUAGAUUAUGAUUAUUGAUUUGAAUAUGUUAAACCAGUCUUCAUCUCAGGGAUGAAAUCGACUUGAUCAUGAUGAAUGCACAAGGAAAAUGUUGUACAUUUGCACAUUGGAGUACACUUCAGCCAUAAAAAGAAUGAGAUGCUGUCAUUUGCAACAACAGUUGAAGCCUAGUCAAGAAGAGGGCUCAGAGAAGCUUGACUAAAGUUUCAUGAAGAGAGUCUCUGUCAGUGGUGGGUCUUUGAUUCUCAAGGAAGCUGUCAGAAGCUUCAUCUAACUUCUCUUCCACUCUACUUUCUUCUGGGGAAGAAGUGACCCAACAAUUUGAUCUAAUAUUUGCCUGAUAAUAUUGAACAUCCUUGCAUCCAUUAAAGUUUACUGUUCUAAGACUUACUUUAACCAAGGUCAACAGCAAUCUGAGACACACUCUUCUCAUGGCAGAUUAUGGGACCAUAAAGCAGGCACUUUCUACACAGUAUUUCUGACCUCACACU